rnacentral:rRNA from 1 species
CCUACGGGUGGCAGCAGUGGGGGAUAUUUCACAAUGGGGGGAACCCUGAUGCAGCGACGCCGCGUGGGUGAAGGAGCGUUUCGGCGCGUAAAGCCCUAUCGGCAGGGAAGAAGGAGGACGGUACCUGACUAAGAAGCCCCGGCUAACUACGUGCCAGCAGCCGCGGUAAUACGUAGGGGGCAAGCGUUAUCCGGAUUUACUGGGUGUAAAGGGAGCGUAGACGGCAAGGCAAGUCUGGAGUGAAAGCCCGUGGCCCAACCACGGGACUGCUUUGGAAACUGUGUUGCUGGAGUGCAGGAGGGGUAAGCGGAAUUCCUAGUGUAGCGGUGAAAUGCGUAGAUAUUAGGAGGAACACCGGUGGCGAAGGCGGCUUACCGGACCGUAACUGACGUUGAGGCUCGAAGGCGUGGGGAGCAAACAGGAUUAGAUACCCGGGUAGUC